CUGCGUUUGUUAAUUUCUGCCGUUCUGAUCCAGCAAGAUCAACCAAGUUGAUCCUACUUGUUCUUGUAAAGUUUGAUCCGUAAUACCUUGGAUUCUGACUUAAUGAAACAAGUAAAAACACAGUGUGAUCGUGAGCUUUCUGCAUUUGCAGUAGUAGCCUCAGUUCUUCGUUUUACCUUUUCUAGCAACUGUGUAACAUCAUUUAUCGUGAACACGGAUUCCUUUGUCAAUGACUCAACAUAAACAGAAGAAGUACCAACAUCUUCUCUAAUCUGAAAAUGUACGAGACGUAUCAGAACAGAAGCAGCCUACAUAAACAGAAGAAGUACCAACAUCUUCUCUAAUCUGAAAAUGUACGAGACCUAUAUAGCAAAUCAUGACGUACCUCUUUGAUGCGUGAAAACAGUAGUUCAAAAACACGAGGAGUCAGCCCCCUCUCUUUGCUGACCGUAUCGUCGGACAAGGCAGACAGUGGCCCCCACAUCGUGUAAGUCUUCCCACUACCAGUCUUACAAACGAAAAUUGAACUGUUGAAGCCAUCCAAACAAUUUUCCACUAGUGGUCGACCUACAAGCUGGAAGAUAUCCUCCUGCGUGGAGGCCUCAUCAGCGACCGAAUCGAAGGUGAACCCCUGCCCAUGUAUCUCGACGGAGCCAGGGCCGGUCUUCCGUACGCACACCUCCUUCCCGGCCCCCUCAUCCUCCUCCUCCGCGCGGCUCGGCGGACGCACCCUCACCACAACCUG
rnacentral:sRNA from 1 species